GUGAUCCACCCACCUCAGUCUCCCAAAGUGCUGGGAUUACAGGCAGUAGAGCGAGGCAAGCCGCACUGGCUGAGAGGCUGUGGAGCCAGAUGAAAAAGCAGCACCUGAGCCCUCUGACGAUGGACCCUACAGUUUGAACAUUUAUUCACCUCCUGAGCUUGUACAACAGUCGUGGGAGUUGCGGCAGAAGCAAGUGAAAGGCCAGAUGAGUGCUUCUAAGCUUGGGAGGAAGAGAGAGGAGGGCAGCCACCGAGGAUUCUUGAGGAGAGAGACCAUAGUAUGAAUGAAAGAGCUGGAAAGACGAAUUUAAGGCACUGGGAGGCUGAAUCCUUUAUUUUGCUGGAAGAAAAACUGAAUGCCAGAAGGGCCGCACUUUGCCCAAAGCUCUACAGCCAUCAGGGGCAAUGCUGGGACUCCCCCCAUGGAUCUCUUGGCUCCUAAUACAGUGCUCUUUCUGAUACGCCAUCUGGCUCCGUAAUGAACGUGGUGUUCCAGGAAAAUCAGUCUGCGCUGAACAGGAUGGAAUUGGGGCAGGAUGUCCAGUGAGGAGGACAUUGAGGCAGCAGAGCAAAUGAUUGCCAAAUGACCACCUAUCCUACUUAAAAGAUCAACCUCGGGGUGGAUUGGAGCUUUCUUUUUUCUUUUUUUUUUUUUGAGAUGGAGUCUUGCUCUGUCGCCCAGGCUGGAGUGCAGUGGCGCGAUCUUGGCUCACUGUGAGCUCCGCCUCCCGG